UGGUCAGUGAUUAAAUUUAUGUCUUGUCUAUAGACAGGUGUUGUCUUAAAAGUCUUGCACAAUAGAGUUACACUGAGGACA
rnacentral:snoRNA from 1 species